rnacentral:rRNA from 1 species
CUAGCCUAACUGAAAUACACAAAUCACAAAAUGUGCUUAUUGUGAUAACGUAAGGGAAAAAAAUGAUAUUACCUUACUAUUAGUGUUGUCUAAAUAACUGGUGCCAGAAGACUCGGUAACACCAGAAACGCGAACGUUAGUCGUCUUAAACAGGCGUAAAGGGUAAGUACGCUGCUUUAAAGUCUAUUUUUAAAAAAGCUAAUUAAUAAUACUCCUCCCACCCUAACAAUUGGGCCUCUCUUUUCUUAAUUUGACCUUUAAAAUGGGAAAGAGGUGUCCAACCCAAUUCUUAUUUUUACUUCUCUUUAAAAUUAAAGAUAAGAAAAAAGGGAGGGAGUAAGGCCCUGUCUAUAAGUUUUAUGGAUUUUCCAGACCUUAAUUUAUAAAUUAAGGACUAAAUUAAAUGAAAAUAGGGAUUAUUAUUAGAUCCGCAUAACUUAUAAUAAUUAAUUAUUAAUAGGACAAAAAAUAGAUACACUUAAAGCUAGAAUCUUAAUUGAGAUAAACCAAAUAAUGCUUAUGUGUAAGGGCGAUAUCUGCNCAUACUAAGUAGAAUACUAACGGUGAAAACUUUUUAUCUGGUAAUGAUUGACGCUGAGGUACGUAAAGUGAGAACAGGGCAAUAGGAUUAGAUACCCAGUUACGCUCUCACCGUCAACGAUGAUAUGGUAGUUGUUAAUUUAAUUUAAUUAGUGACGAUGUUAACGCGAUAACCAUUCCGCACUUGAGAGUACGGUUGCAAAACUGAAACCAAAAAAAUUAGUCGGUUCUACGGAGCA